AUUGAACGCUGGCGGCAGGCUUAACACAUGCAAGUCGAGCGGGGGAAGGUAGCUUGCUACUGGACCUAGCGGCGGACGGGUGAGUAAUGCUUAGGAAUCUGCCUAUUAGUGGGGGACAACAUCUCGAAAGGGAUGCUAAUACCGCAUACGUCCUACGGGAGAAAGCAGGGGAUCACUUGUGACCUUGCGCUAAUAGAUGAGCCUAAGUCGGAUUAGCUAGUUGGUGGGGUAAAGGCCUACCAAGGCGACGAUCUGUAGCGGGUCUGAGAGGAUGAUCCGCCACACUGGGACUGAGACACGGCCCAGACUCCUACGGGAGGUAGCAGUGGGGAAUAUUGGACAAUGGGGGGAACCCUGAUCCAGCCAUGCCGCGUGUGUGAAGAAGGCCUUAUGGUUGUAAAGCACUUUAAGCGAGGAGGAGGCUCUUUUGGUUAAUACCCAAGAUGAGUGGACGUUACUCGCAGAAUAAGCACCGGCUAACUCUGUGCCAGCAGCCGCAGUAA
rnacentral:rRNA from 1 species